GGCGUGCCUAAUACAUGCAAGUCGAACGAACUCUGGUAUUGAUUGGUGCUUGCAUCAUGAUUUACAUUUGAGUGAGUGGCGAACUGGUGAGUAACACGUGGGAAACCUGCCCAGAAGCGGGGGAUAACACCUGGAAACAGAUGCUAAUACCGCAUAACAACUUGGACCGCAUGGUCCGAGUUUGAAAGAUGGCUUCGGCUAUCACUUUUGGAUGGUCCCGCGGCGUAUUAGCUAGAUGGUGGGGUAACGGCUCACCAUGGCAAUGAUACGUAGCCGACCUGAGAGGGUAAUCGGCCACAUUGGGACUGAGACACGGCCCAAACUCCUACGGGAGGCAGCAGUAGGGAAUCUUCCACAAUGGACGAAGUCUGAUGGAGCAACGCCGCGUGAGUGAAGAAGGGUUUCGGCUCGUAAAACUCUGUUGUUAAAGAAGAACAUAUCUGAGAGUAACUGUUCAGGUAUUGACGGUAUUUAACCAGAAAGCCACGGCUAACUACGUGCCAGCAGCCGCGGUAAUACGUAGGUGGCAAGCGUUGUCCGGAUUUAUUGGGCGUAAAGCGAGCGCAGGCGGUUUUAAGUCUGAUGUGAAAGCCUGG
rnacentral:rRNA from 2 species